rnacentral:rRNA from 1 species
UUCGGUGGUCAUAGCGUAGGGGAAACGCCCGGUUACAUUCCGAACCCGGAAGCUAAGCCUUACACGGGGUUCCGGUGUUAGUGGGUGGAUGACUUGAUGCAGCAUGUAGGGUUGGCGAAA